GUGAGGGGAUCACUUUCCACUCGAGAUGGCACUGUGGAGGGGAAGGGAGAGGGGGCAACAGAAAGUGAGGUCGUAAGUAGAAAACUGGUUCUGGGAUUUCGAAUGGCCCCGUCAUGGGGGGCCCUCCCUGGCUGCCGAGAAAUCAGUUGAUCUGGGAAAGUUCGUUGCAAGCCAUGCUCUCUGUCACUUUUGGGUGGAGCUGAGAAAUGAAGAUAAUGAGACCUCGUGACUUUAGUUUUCAGAGCAUGCGUCGCUCUGAAGGUGGUUUGCAAAGCCCUGGCUGCGUGAAGAGGGCUCAGAGAAAAAAGAAGGCCAAGACCCACAGCCGCCUCCACAUCCCAAAGCCGGGCUCCUUACCCCGCCAGCUGUCAGGUCCACGCUCCACACCAUGCUGCCGUUGCAUAGCGGCGUCUGAGGAAGCAAAGAGACCAUGAGUAGAAUGGGGGCAGGAGUCACGGGCCAACCCCAGCCAGGCCAGGCCCACAAGCACCCCGAGUGUAGCACAGAGUCGGGCCUGACAGCCCCUCAACCCGAUCCUGGGCAUCCCCCAGCCCCACUCUCGGCCCUCCUUCUGCAGAACCUUGAUAAUGACUGGUCAUCAUGGAGCUUCACGGACCACCUGGCACUCUCUGGCUCACCGUUCCUUGAAUACCCUAGCAAGCUCUGGGUUCACAUCCCAACCCUCCCCUGUCCCUGUAACUAGCCUAGACUGUGAGAAGUCUGGGAGCUGUCUGCUUUCCCCAUCUAGAAACCUCUCUUCCACAGGUUCUCUUGGAGUAAAUCUGUCCAGUUGUAAAGGUC